rnacentral:rRNA from 1 species
CUGCGAGACCUACAAGUCGAGCAGGGUCGAAAGACGGACUUAGUGAUCCGGUGGUUCCGCAUGGAAGGGCCAUCGCUCAACGGAUAAAAGCUACCCCGGGGAUAACAGGCUUAUCUCCCCCAAGAGUUCACAUCGACGGGGAGGUUUGGCACCUCGAUGUCGGCUCAUCGCAUCCUGGGGCUGUAGUCGGUCCCAAGGGUUGGGCUGUUCGCCCAUUAAAGCGGUACGCGAGCUGGGUUCAGAACGUCGUGAGACAGUUCGGUCCCUAUCCGUCGUGGGCGUAGGAAAUUUGAGAGGAGCUGUCCUUAGUACGAGAGGACCGGGAUGGACAUACCUCUGGUGUACCAGUUGUCGUGCCAACGGCAUAGCUGGGUAGCUAUGUGUGGACGGGAUAAGUGCUGAAAGCAUCUAAGCAUGAAGCCCCCCUCAAGAUGAGAUUUCCCAACUUCGGUUAUAAGAUCCCUCAAAGAUGAUGAGGUUAAUAGGUUCGAGGUGGAAGCAUGGUGACAUGUGGAGCUGACGAAUACUAAUCGAUCGAAGACUUAAUCAA